rnacentral:sRNA from 1 species
AAGUAAUGUAACAGAAAAUACGAAUAAGAUCAUGUUAGACUAUCGUUCCAUGUUAUAAAUAUAAACUUCCAGCUACUAUAAUUUUAGAACCAAAAUGACCGGAACAAAAAUUUCCGGAAUUUUUUAAACUUUCGAUCUCUCGAACUCUUGAUCUCUCGAAGUUUAAUCAUGGUCCCCUGAAGUUCGAGUUAUCGAGAUUCACCUGUAAUACAAUGUUGUAUCAAAUAUAUUGUAUCUUAUGAUACAUAUCAUAUUAUGUAUCAUAUAUGAUACAAUGGCAUACAAUACAAUAUCAUACUGUAUCAUACAAUAUAAUAUCAUAUGUUACAAUUUUGUGAUUUAUUAUGUGAUAUGAUAUUUUAUCAUAUGAUACUAUAUUGUAUCAUAUAUUAUAUAUUAUGAUAUUGUAUUAUGUGAUCAAGUACAAUGUUUUACAAGAUGCAAUACCAUGUCAUAUUAUAUGAUACAAUAUCAUAUCUUGAUACAAUGUCAUAUCGUAUGUUACAAUAUCAUAUUGUGUCAUUAUAUAUUACAGUAUUAUAUUUAUAUAAUAGUGUUGUGUUGUGCAUGUACUAUGCCUAAAUAUUAGUCAGGGUUUGAUACAUAGUGCAGGAGCUUGAGGAAAAUAUUUGCUGUGCUCUAUUUCGGCAUAAUAUGUUUACGCUAUAUAAACCCUUUGUAUACUAUGCGAAAAUAGAUGAGUAUUGAAUUUAUAGAGAUAAAUUGACAGGAGGCAUAAUAAUGUUUUAUAUGAUAUAUAUUGUAUAGUAUCAUAGGAUGCAAUAUGGUAUUUUAUAUUAUUGUAUUGAUAAACAUUUUAUCUUACAAUACAGUAUUAAAUGAACAUAUGAUUUUCAAACUAUUAUUUACAUAUGAUAUACGAUAUUGUGUCAAAACAGUAUCCAUGAAUAUCCAAGAUCAUUAACAUGAUUAACUAUGAUUUUCAUAUAAUAUGAUAAAGGUGGUCUCAAAAAGAUGAUGCCUAGUCUCGGUAAGCUUUGUAAUCUGGGAAUACCUAUGUCAACUAUGAUAGCAUGUCCCUACAAUUUUGUAAACACAAAUUGGAAAAAUUAGAAAUCUUCAUUUUAUAUUU